GGAGGCUCAGGCACGGCUGGGCUGCAGGUCCCGAGCCCUGCCCCGCGGGAAGGCAGCUAAGGCCGGGCGAGAAAUUGAGCACAGCAGCUGCUGGCCCAGGUGCUAAGCCCCUCACUGCCUGGGGCUGGCGGGGCUGGCGGGGCCGGCAGGCCGCUCCGAGUGCGGGCCCGCCGAGCCUACGCCCACCCGGAACUCGCGCUGGCCCGGAAGCAUCGCGCGCGGCCCCGUUUCCGGCCCGCGCCUCUCCCUCCACCCCUCCCCACAAGCUGAGGGAGCCGGCUGCGGCCUUCGCCAGCCCAGAAAGGGGCUCCUACAGUGCAGUGGCGGGCUGAAGGGCUGCUCAAGCGCUGCCAAAGUGGGAGCCCAGGCAGAGGAGGCACCCAGAGCGAGCGAGGGCUGCGAGGACUGCCAGCACGCUGUCACCUCUCAGUCAUAUAGAUGGCCAAUCUAUUUGUGAACCAGGGGCUGAUGCACAGAGACUCUGGAGGAAGAGCGAACAGAAAAGGACCACAAGCUAUACCACAGAGUUUGACUGUUCUCGUCGGCAUGGUUGGGACAUUAUCCCUGGCAGAAGGCUGGACUGGCAUGGACAUCAUUUGAUGAGUUCGUCUCCUCUUAACAAUCAAAGCCUGUUUUCCAGUGCGAAUAAACUGUUGCCUUAUAUAUUGUUUUCCCAUUUUUAUAGUUGUUUACUGCAAAAAAGAGUCUGGUACAAGUUACUUUGCUAAAACCUUGAUAAAGUUUUAUUCUACGAUUCUUCAAUCAAUGUUUCUGUUUUGUUUAUUCUGUUAUCUCUGUUAUGUCAUACCAUAAUUCUCUCAUUAAUAG
rnacentral:lncRNA from 1 species